rnacentral:rRNA from 1 species
AACGAACGCUGGCGGCGUGCUUAAGACAUGCAAGUCGUGCGAGAAAGUCACCUUCGGGUGGCGAGUAGAGCGGCGCACGGGUGAGUAACGCGUGGGUAAUCUGCCUUUAGGUUUGGGAUAACUCCGGGAAACUGGUGCUAAUACCGGAUAAGACCACGACGUCUUCGGGCGAUGUGGAAAAAGAUGGCCUCUCCUUGGAAGCUAUCGCCUAUUGAUGAGCCCGCGUCCCAUUAGCUUGUUGGUGAGGUAACGGCUCACCAAGGCGUCGAUGGGUAGCUGGUCUGAGAGGAUGAUCAGCCACACUGGAACUGAGACACGGUCCAGACUCCUACGGGAGGCAGCAGUCGGGAAUUUUGGGCAAUGGGGGAAACCCUGACCCAGCAACGCCGCGUGAGGGAUGAAGGCCUUCGGGUCGUAAACCUCUGUCAGGAGGGAAGAACGGGCCGCAGUCGAAUAGGCUGCGGUUUUGACGGUACCUCCAAAGGAAGGACCGGCUAACUCCGUG